rnacentral:rRNA from 1 species
UACGUAGGGUGCGAGCGUUGUCCGGAAUUACUGGGCGUAAAGAGCUCGUAGGCGGUUUGUCGCGUCGUCCGUGAAAACUUGGGGCUUAACCCUGAGCUUGCGGUCGAUACGGGCAUGACUGGAGUUCGGCAGGGGAGACUGGAAUUCCUGGUGUAGCGGUGAAAUGCGCAGAUAUCAGGAGGAACACCGAUGGCGAAGGCAGGUCUCUGGGCAUUAACUGACGCUGAGGAGCGAAAGCAUGGGGAGCGAACAGG